GGUUGUAAACCACUGUCGACGGGGACGAUAAUGACGGUACCCGUGGAAGAAGCCCCGGCUAACUACGUGCCAGCAGCCGCGGUAAAACGUAGGGGGCAAGCGUUGUUCGGAAUUAUUGGGCGUAAAGCGCUCGUAAGCGGGAUUGCAAGUCCGUUGUGAAAGACCUCGGCUCAACUGAGGGACCGGCUCGGAUACUGUAAUUCUUGAGGGCAUCAGAGGAUGAUGGAAUUCCCGGUGUAGCGGUGAAAUGCGUAUAUAUCUGGAGGAACACCAGUGGCGAAGGCGAUCAUCUGGGGUUGUUCUGACGCUGAGGAGCGAAAGCUAGGGGAGCAAACAGGAUUAAAUACCCCGGUAGUCCUAGCCCUAAACGAUGGACCUAGGUGUAUGUGGUAUCAACUCCCUAUGUGCCGUAUUUAACACAAUAAAUG
rnacentral:rRNA from 1 species